UUGCCUUUGUAAUUACACUUUGACACUUCAUCGCGGAUUUUAGUCACAUAUUUGGUGUGCAGACUUCCGAUUGUUAGCUCGUGUUAGCUACAGUCACCACGUUUUAAUCGUACAAGCUAUGACAAAAUACAGUAGUGGACAUCGCCAGAUGAUCCUGGAUUGAUGGUUUUAUCCAAAUAAGCUUUUAUCCAGUUAUCGAUGCUUGAGGCGAACCAAGCUAAAUGGAGCCGAAAAUAAACGGACAUAGGUUUAGAGAUAGGACUAGUGAUAAAUUACCUUGGAUGAAGAAGAAUGUGAACCUUUGGGAAAGCGUCGAGGUCCAGUUUACUUGACAUCCAGCACUUGUAGUGCCCGCCCACUUUUACUUUAGACCACGACUACCGGCUGGCUGCAAAAAGAUCACGGACAAGUCAUGUUUACACUGAACAGCGAAAACACUGGCUCCAAACCAAACAAACAGACAAGUGGUUCCAUUUGUCAACCGCAUUUAUUUUUGACGGCAACCCCAAUCUUUUAUAAAUUGAAACAUCUUUCGAUUAGGGAUUUUUUCCCCCUGAGUUUGCACAGCGCAUUAUCUUGUCUACUUUAGUGAUCACCCCAGAUUUCAUCCCCUCGCUUUUUCAAGUGUUUUGUUAUCGUUGCGGCAUCUUUGAAGUCCACGACAAAGCAACAUUUUAAAGAAAACGUUGGGCUAGAAGACCUCGGGUUGACCCCUUUACUAUAAAACGGAAAUGCUUUGCCGGUUGACCCAUAUCCUGAUCUCAUCACUCACGUCAGGAGUCACAUGACACGCUAGCAAACCCCGCCUCCUCCCUGCUAGGGAGGCACUGUUAUACUUAGUAGGAGAUUGAGUCCAGCCAAAAAAAUUAAAAAUUCAAAAAAUCAGUGCCUCUUUGUUUUCAGUAGAAAAAUUGGUCUAGAAUUGAUUGACGGGGAGCGGAUUAGGGAUUUAAUCGUGCUGAUAUGAAGAUAUAUAUGUUUUAGCUUGUUUGGAAAGUUGCCACAGGGAACCCAGACUACUGUUGUCAGAUGGUAGUGCUAAUGAUCAUGAUGAUAAUGCUGAUAAUUGAUCAUAGCUUAUAAUGAUAAUGAUAAAAUAAAUGAUUAUGAGUUUAUGAUGGGAGAUAAUGCAUUAUGAUGAUGAUGAGAAUUCCUCACGAUCAGCAAUAUUAAACAUAGCUUCCAUGUUUUUGUCGAUAAGGUUACGAGUUGAUGAUGAUGAUGACGAUGAUGCGAUCAUAAUAUUAUUAUCAUCACCAUAAUCAUCAUUUUCAUCAUUUUCAUUAUCAGUAUUACAAUCAUUAUCCUAGUAAGCUAUUAAGAUAUUAUUAUACUACGUUGAUGAAGAUUUAAAGUUGCAUUAAUGUUGUAUCUGGUGUCAUUGAAAUGAUCAUGAUGAUUAUCAUAUAGGCA